UGGGGAAUAUUGCACAAUGGGCGCAAGCCUGAUGCAGCCAUGCCGCGUGUGUGAAGAAGGCCCUCGGGUUGUAAAGCACUUUCAGCGGGGAGGAAGGCGAUAAGGUUAAUAACCUCAUCGAUUGACGUUACCCGCAGAAGAAGCACCGGCUAACUCCGUGCCAGCAGCCGCGGUAAUACGGAGGGUGCAAGCGUUAAUCGGAAUUACUGGGCGUAAAGCGCACGCAGGCGGUCUGUCAAGUCGGAUGUGAAAUCCCCGGGCUCAACCUGGGAGCUGCAUUCGAAACUGGCAGGCUAGAGUCUUGUAGAGGGGGGUAGAAUUCCGGGUGUAGCGGUGAAAUGCGUAGGGAUCUUGAGGAAUACCGGUGGCGAAGGCGGCCCCCUGGACAAAAACUGACGCUCAGGUGCGAAAGCGUGGGGAGCAAACAGG
rnacentral:rRNA from 1 species